rnacentral:rRNA from 1 species
AGAGUUUGAUCAUGGCUCAAAAUGAACGCUGGCUGUGUGCCUAAUACAUGCAUGUCGAGCGCAGCACUUUUGUGCUUAGCGGCGAANGGGUGAGUAACACGUACUUAACCUACCCCUAAAACUGGGACAACAGUCGGAAACGACUGCUAAUACCGGAUAUUUCUUUUAGUCGCAUGACUAAUUGAUGAAAGAGGCGUUUGCCUCAUUUAGGGAUGGGAGUGCGCUACAUUAGUUAGUUGUUAGGGUAAAAGCCUAACAAGACGAUGAUGUAUAGCGGGGUUGAGAAGCUGAUCCGCCACACUGGGACUGAGAUACGGCCCAGACUCCUACGGGAGGCAGCAGUAGGGAAUUUUCCACAAUGAGCGAAAGCUUGAUGGAGCGACACAGCGUGCAGGAAGACGGUCUUUGGAUUGUAAACUGCUGUUAUAAGGGAAGAACAACUAGGGUAGGAAAUGACUCUAGCCUGACGGUACCUUAUCANAAAGCACCGGCAAACUAUGUGCCAGCAGCCGCGGUAAUACAUAGGGUGCAAGCGUUAUUCGGAAUUAUUGGGCGUAAAGCGUUCGUAGGCUGUUUAUUAAGUCUGGAGUUAAAGCCCGGGGCUCAACCCCGGUACGCUUUGGAUACUGAUAAACUAGAGUUAUAGAGAGGUUAGUGGAACUCCAUGUGAAGCGGUGGAAUGCGUAGAUAUAUGGAAGAACACCAAUAGCGAAGGCAGCUAACUGGCUAUAAACUGACGCUGAGGGACGAAAGUGUGGGUAGCAAACAGGAUUAGAUACCCUGGUAGUCCACACCGUAAACGAUGUCAACUAGCCGUUGGGGGGCUUGUCCCUUUUAGUGGCGCAGCUAACGCACUAAGUUGACCGCCGGGGGAGUACGGUCGCAAGA